UACGUAGGGCGCAAGCGUUAUCCGGAAUUAUUGGGCGUAAAGAGCUCGUAGGCGGUUUGUCGCGUCUGCUGUGAAAACCCGAGGCUCAACCUCGGGCCUGCAGUGGGUACGGGCAGACUAGAGUGCGGUAGGGGGAGAAUGGAAUUCCUGGUGUAGCGGUGGAAUGCGCAGAUAUCAGGAGGAACACCGAUGGCGAAGGCAGUUCUCUGGGCCGUAACUGACGCUCAUGCACGAA
rnacentral:rRNA from 1 species